UUAUAAGAGACAGCAGCCGCCGCGGUAAUACAGAGGAUGCAAGCGUUAUCCGGAAUGAUUGGGCGUAAAGCGUCUGUAGGUGGCUUUUCAAGUCCGCCGUCAAAUCCCGGGGCUCAACCCUGGACAGGCGGUGGAAACUACCAAGCUGGAGUACGGUAGGGGCAGAGGGAAUUUCCGGUGGAGCGGUGAAAUGCGUAGAGAUGUGGAGGAACACCAGUGGCGAAGGCGACUCUCUGGUCUGUAACUGACGCUGAGGAGCGAAAGCGUGGGGAGCGAACAGGAUUAGAUACCCCCGUAGUCCCUGUCUCUUAUAC
rnacentral:rRNA from 1 species